ensembl:snRNA U4 U4 spliceosomal RNA
AUCUUUGCGCAGUGGCAGUAUCGUAGCCUAUGAGGUUUAUCCGAGGCGCGAUUAUUGCUAGUUGAAAACUUUACCCAAUACCCCGCCUUGACGACUUGAAAUAUAGUCGGCAAUGGCAAUUUUUGACGGUCUCUAAGGAGA